UGCACAACUUGGCUUCCAAUUUACAAAUAUAUUUCUUCCUCUGAAAUUAGACCAAUCGCAAGCCCAAGCCGUGGUGUUCCUCAACCUCCUCUCUCCAUUUUCAAGCUUUACAAUUUUAAAUUCCUAACAUCUUUUCAAAUAGCCUUUGAACUGAGAAAAAAGAAAAAUAAUAAACAAAUAAAUAAAAAUAAAUAAUUUAGUUUGGUGAGACUUUGCUGCAAUCCAGCAGGUUGGGUAGAAAGGGAUGAUGAGUGUAGCAGCACCUUGUACAAUCUACCUAAUUUCACGCUUAAAUGUCCAUAAAACCCUUACAUCUUGUCUAAUCUUUCAAUUGUGUCACUCUCGUUUCUCUCUCGUUCCUCCUCCUAGACCUCUCUCCAUCAUGGCCUCUGCAACUCAGUCUUCUUCUUCUCAGGCUGUGUCUCCUGGGGAUACUGACAAGGAAACCAAUGUGUUUCAGUUAAUUCAAGCUCACCAGGAGAAGGCUGCUAGGCUUCCUCCGGUCGAAGAAAUUCGUACCUUGCUUGAUCAAAGCACUCGAGGCAUGCUUUCAACUUUUUCGCAGAAGCAUGAGGGCUAUCCAUCAGGGUCAGCAGUUGACUUUGCAUGCGAUGCCAAUGGAUCUCCAAUAUUAGCAGUCAGCACCAUGGCAGUUCAUACAAAGGACCUAUUGGCUAAUCCCAAAUGUUCACUGCUUGUCGUUAGAGAUCCUGAGGACAGGACAGAUUUAGUAAUUACCCUGCAUGGUGAUGCUAUUGCUGUUUCUGAAAAAGAUCAAGCUGCCGUUCGAACUGCUUAUUUGGCUAAACACCCCAAUGCAUUCUGGAUAGAGAACUCAGCAUACACUUCCAUUAUGAAGGUUGACUUUGGUGACUUCCAAUUUAUGCACAUUGAACCAAAGGUUGUGAGAUAUGUAUCAGGUGUUGCAACAGCUUUGCUAGGAUCAGGAGAGUUCAGCAAAGAGGAGUACCAGGAUUCAAAAGUUGAUCCAAUAGCUCAAUUCUCUAAGCCCGUUGCGUCUCACAUGAACAAGGAUCAUGCUGAAGACACUAAAGUCAUUGUGCAAUUCGCAACAUCGAUUCCGGUUGACUACGCUUACAUGCUGGAUUUGGAUAGUCUUGGAUUCAAUGUCAAGGCUGGUUAUCAAGGAAAUACUUUCAAGCUGCGAAUUCCUUUUCCUAGACGUGCAGAAAAUAGAAAGGAUGUGAAAACCCUAAUAGUUGAAAUGCUCCAAGCUGCCCAGACUCAAGUCAACUGACUUUGCUGCUAAAAGGGACCUAAGAGCUGCAGCAUGUAGAGGAAACUUAGUCUGAAUAUCCUUUUCAGAAAACUGUUAAACGGUCUUAUGAAUUAUGUGCACAGCAAAAGUCAUCUAGCUUCAGUGCUAAAUGUUAAGGAUAUUGUGUUACAUUUGCAUCUAACUUCUUUGGAAGAUGAACCAACUUAGAAUUCCAAAAGACAUAGCAAUAAAGAUACGAUUACCAAGGACAACCAGCUGGAAUAAUUGGCUUUUUGCUUGUUAUACCUCGGAAACUUUCAUUUCAAGUUGUUACAAUUAGAGAUAAUUAGAGACAAUGAUAACGUUUGAAAGUUGAAAUUAUGAGAUGUGAAACUGGUUAAUGAUUCCUCUGUAUGUACUUUGCCAUGAUAUAAUACUUUCUUCUUUCCCUUACUGCCCUUAGACAUAACUUGAAAACAUAAGAUACGAAGGUUUGCUGUAAACAAUUUAACUGGAAUGGUCAUGUGCAUAGAGAAUAUUAAGAGUCUGGCAAAGUACUUCGUUCACCGAAAGGCUGAUACAGCCUAGGGUUUGUUUUUUUUUUUCAACA